UACAGAGGGUGCGAGCGUUAAUCGGAGUUACUGGGCGUAAAGGGCGCGUAGGCGGUGAGAUGAGUGUGAUGUGAAAGCCCCGGGCUUAACCUGGGAAGUGCAUCGCAAACUAUCUGACUGGAGUAUAUGAGAGGGUGGCGGAAUUUCCGGUGUAGCGGUGAAAUGCGUAGAGAUCGGAAGGAACGUCGAUGGCGAAGGCAGCCACCUGGCAUAAUACUGACGCUGACGCGCGAAAGCGUGGGGAGCGAACAGG
rnacentral:rRNA from 1 species